rnacentral:misc_RNA from 1 species
GAUGAAGAACGUAGCGAACUGCGAUAAGUAAUGUGAAUUGCAGAAUUCAGUGAAUCAUCGAGUCUUUGAACGCACAUUGCGCCCCCUGGCAUUCCGGGGGGCAUGCCUGUCCGAGCGUCAUUGCUGCCCUUCAAGCCCGGCUUGUGUGUUGGGUCGUCGUCCCCCCCGGGGGACGGGCCCGAAAGGCAGCGGCGGCACCGCGUCCGGUCCUCGAGCGUAUGGGGCUUUGUCACCCGCUCGAUUAGGGCCGGCCGGGCGCCAGCCGGCGUCUCCAACCUUCUAUUUUACCAGGUUGACCUCGGAUCAGGUAGGGAUACCCGCUGAACUUAAGCAUAUCAAUAAGCGGAAGGA